AGAAUGAACGCUGGCGGCGUGCUUUACACAUGCAAGUCGAGCGAGGCGGCCCGCAAGGGCCAGUCGAGCGGCGAACGGGUGAGUAACGCGUGGAUGACCUGCCCUGAGGUGGGGAAUAACCCGGGGAAACUCGGGCUAAUACCGCAUAUGACCGCGAGGUCAAAGAGGGGUCGCAAGAUCUCUUGCCACAGGAGGGGUCCGCGUUCGAUUUAGCUAGUUGGUAGGGUAAUGGCCUACCAAGGCGACGAUCGAUAGCCGGCCUGAGAGGGUGAUCGGGCCACACUGGAACUGAGACACGGUCCAGACUCCUACGGGAGGCAGCAGUGGGGAAUUUGCGCAAUGGGCUAAGCCUGACGCAGCAACGCCGCGUGGAGGAUGAAGGUCCUUGGAUUGUAAACUCCUGUCAGCGGGAAAAAGGACUCGGCCUAAUACGUGGGACUUGAUUGUACCCGCAGACGAAGCCCCGGAUAACGUCUGUGCCAGCAGCCGCGGU
rnacentral:rRNA from 1 species